UCAUUCAAAUCAGCAGUUCUGCCGAUACCUCUUUUAUCUUGGAAAGAUCAGAACAAUCCAGUUGGAGUACACUGAUGCUAAAGAAUCUCUUCUUCAAGCUGCUCGCAAAGCUCCUCAGGCUGCUCUUGGUUUCCGAGUUCAAUGCAAUAAGUGGGCUAUUAUUGUCCGGUUAUUGCUUGGAGAGAUUCCAGAAAGGACUGUUUUUAUGCAGAAAGGCAUGGAGAAAGCACUAAGGCCAUACUUUGAGCUGACAAAUGCUGUUCGUAUAGGAGAUCUGGAGUUAUUUAAGAAUGUUGCUGAGAAGUUCUCCAGCACUUUUGGUUCAGACCGAACCAACAAUUUGAUUGUGCGACUUCGGCAUAAUGUCAUUAGGACUGGGUUACGCAACAUCAGCAUCUCAUACUCUCGGAUCUCACUGACUGAUGUUGCUAAAAAGCUGAGGCUGGAUUCUCCAAACCCUGUUGCUGAUGCUGAGA
rnacentral:misc_RNA from 1 species